rnacentral:rRNA from 1 species
CAAUAGCGUAUAUUAACGUUGUUGCAGUUAAAAAGCUCGUAGUUGGAUUUCCGGAGGGAGCGUCGGCCCGUAUUUACGAGUGCGUGACGUCUCUGUCCAUCCUUGCGGGAAGGCACGGCAUUGAUUUGUUGUGUCGGAUCGCAUCAUUUACUGUGAAAAAAUUAGAGUGUUCAAAGCAGGCUUUCGCUUGAAUACAUUAGCAUGGAAUAAUAAGAUAGGACUUUGGCGCUAUUUUGUUGGUUGAGCCUAAAGUAAUGAUUAAUAGGGAUAGUUGGGGGCACCUGUAUUGCGUUGUCAGAGGUGAAAUUCUUGGAUUUACGCAAGACAAACAGCUGCGAAAGCGUCUGCCAAGGAUGUUUUCAUUAA